UCCUCUCCUCUUGCUUUAAAGGCGCCGCGCUUCUUUCCCCGCUGCUGUUACUAGCUCCAGGGCACCCAGGCCCACCCAAGAGCACGGUGCACUCUUUAUUUCAAGAACUCCAGGGAGAGAAUUCCGGGUACUGACCACCUAGUGCUUCCGGAACCCUCGGCCCUGAUUUCGUCUCCUGCAAGCAAGCACAUCCACAUCCAGGCAUAGGGGAACAGGGACAGAGAUGCUCUGAAUGACAGUGGGUAAGGCAAAAGGGACAAGGAUUGAUUUUGCCUGCUCUGAGAAGCUACACUGAGUAUAAGGACUCAUAGCUUCUGCUUCUGGGUGGCUGCUUUUUUGCUGCUCCUGAAACCAUGGCAACGAGACUUCUAUGUUGCCAGCAUCUGGGGAGCAGCUGGUUGUCUCCAAAGUGACCCUUUUGGUUCAACUACUGCAUUUCCCAUUCAGGUUGGUGAGGAUCAUCUUGGUUUCUGCAUCUUCUACUUCUAUCCUGCUUCUCAAGCUAGAUGGGUUUUGGUCUCUCCUGGUGUCCAGUAGCAAAAGAAAUGGACUUUCAACAUCAAGAAGCUGGCAGGAAAUCUCAGCACAGGUCUAGCCCCUUUAUAUCUGAUUUUGUUCUUCAAGCUAGGUCCCUGAACUCUGAGGGAAUUUGAGGCCUGGCAAGCACAGAACCUGGAGUCCUAGCUGUCAUGGUUGGGAAAAUGAGCAUAUAGAAGUACUUAAAUAUGAGAUAUUGAAAGAUGUUUUUAAGGAGAAGUGGGAGGAGGAGGGUGCCUAAGUCCUAGGGUCUUCCCAAGGGUUGCUUCCUGGAGUCAGGGGUGGGGACAGGAGGCAGAGAGCACACCAGACUCCUCAGGCUUCUCUGGAGGAGCGAUUAGCUUCUGCAAACAAUCCCGGAUUUGCUCUCCUCUGGGUCAGAAAAGUCAACAUGUAUUCAAUACCUUUGCUACUUUAUCCUCAGCCCUGCAAUAUUAACUAGAGUGGAGACUUAGCAGUUCCCCCCAGAGUACAUUGGUGAGCUACUAUUCUCGAGGAGGUUUAAGAGAGGCCAAGCUUGAACAGGCUUGGCAGACCAGCCCAGGAGACAAAUUUCAAAGGGAUUGUAAUAGGAAGCAGGCCAGGUGGAAUUCCUAAGCUCAGUGGAGCCUAGAGGCAACUGCAGUCCCAGGAGCACUCCAGUCUAAUUCUGAAGGGCUGGAAGCAGAGGCUCCUGUUCACCCUACAGCAGACCAACAGGCCGCAGAGAAGCGUUUGUUCUUUUGCUGUAUUUUGUUUGUUUGUUUGUUUUGUUUUACCUGCAGCCAUUGCUAUCCCAGAAGAGUAAAAACUUUCCUGAACCUG
rnacentral:lncRNA from 1 species